rnacentral:rRNA from 1 species
UCGAUUCCCUUAGUAGCGGCGAGCGAAACGGGAAGAGCCCAAACCAACAAGCUUGCUUGUUGGGGUUGUAGGACACUCUAUACGGAGUUACAAAGGACGACAUUAGACGAAUCAUCUGGAAAGAUGAAUCAAAGAAGGUAAUAAUCCUGUAGUCGAAAAUGUUGUCUCUCUUGAGUGGAUCCUGAGUACGACGGAGCACGUGAAAUUCCGUCGGAAUCUGGGAGGACCAUCUCCUAAGGCUAAAUACUCUCUAGUGACCGAUAGUGAACCAGUACCGUGAGGGAAAGGUGAAAAGCACCCCGGAAGGGGAGUGAAAUAGAACCUGAAACCGUGUGCUUACAAGUAGUCAGAGCCCGUUAAUGGGUGAUGGCGUGCCUUUUGUAGAAUGAACCGGCGAGUUACGAUUUGAUGCAAGGUUAAGCAGUAAAUGUGGAGCCGUAGCGAAAGCGAGUCUGAAUAGGGCGUUUAGUAUUUGGUCGUAGACCCGAAACCAGGUGAUCUACC